rnacentral:rRNA from 1 species
CCUACGGGAGGCAGCAGUGAGGAAUAUUGGUCAAUGGGCGCAAGCCUGAACCAGCCAAGUCGCGUGAGGGAUGACGGUCCUAUGGAUUGUAAACCUCUUUUGUCGGGGAGCAAGGCACGCCACGUGUGGCGGGAAGGAGAGUUCCCGAAGAACAAGCAUCGGCUAACUCCGUGCCAGCAGACGCGGUAAUACGGUGGACGCGAGCGUUAUCCGGAUUUAUUGGGUUUAAAGGAUGCGUAGGCGGAAGGUUAAGUCAGCGGUCAAAUGUCGGUGCUCAACACCGGCCUGCCGUUGAAACUGGGCAUCUUGAGUGAGCGAGAAGUAAGCGGAAUGCCUGGUGUAGCGGUGAAAUGCAUAGAUAUCACGCAGAACUCCGAUUGCGAAGGCAGCAUACCGGCGCUCAACUGACGCUGAGGCACGAAAGCGUGGGGAGCGAACAGGAUUAGAUACCCCAGUAGUC